rfam:Triticum aestivum genome assembly, contig: Triticum_aestivum_CS42_TGACv1_scaffold_290476_4AL
UUUGUACUCCCUCCGUCUGAAAAAGCUUGUCCCAAGUUUGUCUCUCAAAUGGACGUAUCUAGCACUAACUUGGUUCUAGAUACAUCCUUUCGAGGGACAAGUUUUUUUGGACGGGGGGAGUACAUU